CUGACACAGAGCGGCGGCGGCGGCGGCGCACCGGAAACUCUCGCGAGAACCGGGCGGCCGCCGACCUUCCCAGCAUGGCGCCGUCCCGCCGGGCCCCGGGCGCCAUGUUGUGUGCGGCGCGGCCGCCCUGCCCUCCCUCAGCCUCGGGGAGCCUCGUUCGCCAGUAUUUCCCUCGAAGCUUUUGUUUUUCCCCUCGCAGUUCAACAGGCUUGACCUGCCGGGUGAGCGAAAAAAAUGCAUGAACAUGGAAAGACAAGCACAGCUCCAAUGGGAAAAAGUGGUAAGUAGUGCCAAAUUCCCUCCUGAGUCCUCAAAGAACAACUUGCUGCUCCCAAAUGCACCAGAGUGUAAGUAAUAAUAAUAAUAAUAAUGGCAAUAUCAGUCAGUGAAAACAAUAUUACUGCAAUGUAUGGGAGCCCCGAUUGUAGACUAGGGCACAUUAAAUUGUUACAUUCCCUAUCAUCACAUAGUGUUUGCUUAAAUUUACUGCUUAAUAAUGCUGGACUGGCAGCCUAUUUAAAUUAUUCAGCACUUUCGUAAUGCACUGCCUCUUUAAUUAUGCUUUUAAACAUAGUUUCUCUUUUCUGCUUGGAAGCAGUUAGUCUAGUUUCACGCUCCUCCUUCUCAUCUCCAGGCAAACUAGGCAUCACAUUAGGAUUUUCUCAAACAUGGAAAUCAUUUGGUUUCAUUCAGUCAAAUAAAAUUAAAAGGCGGUGUUUGUAUUCUGGUUUUGCUUCUAUUUAUUCUCUGUGUCUGCCAGUGGAACCUAAUUGUAACACUUUAGAUUACACUUUCAAAGAUUCCCUUACAGUGAGGGGAAAGCUCUGAUGGGCAAACAUCUUACACGAGAAGAGAAAGAAAAAGGCCUUCUUGUGCAAAAUGCAGUUAUCUUGUGAAAUUCUCAGUGAUUAGAAAUAAAGAAGCCGUUUACCUGCAAAGAGCCACAGCUGAGAGAACAGGAGGAGCUGAGCACACUCCAGCUGGAUGAGCUCCCUGAAGGGCAGAGCAGCCGAGGGAACAGCAGCGAGCACUGCCCCAGCACUGGAGGUGGUGGAUGGAGACACACAGUACGUUAAAAGUUAAGAGCCACAUUCUCAUCUUUCACUACCGUGGUUAUUGCAGCUUUAAGAGAGAGGUUUGGAAAGUUUUCCACUCCACACUGUUCUUGCACACCCCUUCUAAAA